rnacentral:rRNA from 2 species
GUAGGGUGCGAGCGUUAAUCGGAAUUACUGGGCGUAAAGCGUGCGCAGGCGGUUUUGUAAGCCAGAUGUGAAAUCCCCGGGCUCAACCUGGGAAUGGCAUUUGGGACUGCAAGGCUUGAGUGCGGCAGAGGAGACUGGAAUUCCUGGUGUAGCAGUGAAAUGCGUAGAUAUCAGGAGGAAUACCGAUGGCGAAGGCAGGUCUCUGGGCUGACACUGACGCUCAUGCACGAAAGCGUGGGGAGCAAACAGGAUUAGAUACCCUGGUAGUCCACGCCCUAAACGAUGUCGACUGGUUGUUGGGGGUUUGACACUCUCAGUAACGAAGCUAACGCGUGAAGUCGACCGCCUGGGGAGUACGGCCGCAAGGUUA